ACUUUCAAAGGAUAACAGCUUAAUCCAAAAGAACCAUCGUUG
rnacentral:tRNA from 1 species